rfam:Mus musculus chromosome 13, GRC primary reference assembly.
GGGUGAUCUGGCUGUGAUGUGGGUUCAUUCGACUGAUCCAGCUGGCUAGGUGAGUGUCUCCUUUCUCCCUUUCAUGUCCUGAAGCUGAACACUCAGUUAAAGGGGACUACCCUUCCUGGACAGAGAAAGACCCAGACUCCAAUCAAGGGUAUAUAAGCAGCUGUGCCCCCUAUGAAGACGACCAGACAAGCUCUCAAGGCUACGCCAUUGGCCUAAACCACCCUCUUUCCUACCCUGACCUCUCCACUGACAUUUAUGUCUGU